rnacentral:rRNA from 1 species
AUGAACGCUGGCGGCGUGCCUAAUACAUGCAAGUCGAGCGAACGGACGAGAAGCUUGCUUCUCUGAUGUUAGCGGCGGACGGGUGAGUAACACGUGGAUAACCUACCUAUAAGACUGGGAUAACUUCGGGAAACCGGAGCUAAUACCGGAUAAUAUUUUGAACCGCAUGGUUCAAAAGUGAAAGACGGUCUUGCUGUCACUUAUAGAUGGAUCCGCGCUGCAUUAGCUAGUUGGUAAGGUAACGGCUUACCAAGGCAACGAUGCAUAGCCGACCUGAGAGGGUGAUCGGCCACACUGGAACUGAGACACGGUCCAGACUCCUACGGGAGGCAGCAGUAGGGAAUCUUCCGCAAUGGGCGAAAGCCUGACGGAGCAACGCCGCGUGAGUGAUGAAGGUCUUCGGAUCGUAAAACUCUGUUAUUAGGGAAGAACAUAUGUGUAAGUAACUGUGCACAUCUUGACGGUACCUAAUCAGAAAGCCACGGCUAACUACAUG